rnacentral:rRNA from 2 species
CUGAUGCAGCCAUGCCGCGUGUGUGAAGAAGGCCUUCGGGUUGUAAAGCACUUUCAGCGAGGAGGAAAGGUUGGCGCCUAAUACGUGUCAACUGUGACGUUACUCGCAGAAGAAGCACCGGCUAACUCCGUGCCAGCAGCCGCGGUAAUAC